CGUAGCAACCGAUCAGCGGCGGGCAAGCGGGAACCGCGGGUUAAGGGCUGGGAGGUCGGGUCCCGCGGGUUUUGCGCCUUUCCCCCGCCCGCCCGACCCGCUGCCGUCCUGAGCAGGGGGCCCCAGGGUGUGGCUGCCCUGCCGGCACCUAGCUCCGGUCCUAGGCAUGGAUGAGAUCAAUCAGAAAAUAUAGAAGGGAUGAUAAAGAGGACCAAAGAUAGAUCCCCGGGAAGCACUGAGUUUAAAAGGCAGUGGCAGAUGAACGGAAGCCCACAAAGUCUGAGGAACAAUGGCCAGAGAGAUAAAAGAACUAGGUGAUGUGAAUUACAUAACUGGCUGUUUUCUCCUUGCACUCUGACUGCCAAGAAGCUCUGAGAAAUUGUGGCUCAGCAUUAGUAACGGGAAGGACCCUUGGCCUGCAUAUCUGUAUUCUGUUGGUUUGAAAUUUUUCAAAAUAAAAACC